rnacentral:rRNA from 1 species
GAUGAACGCUGGCGGCGUGCUUAACACAUGCAAGUCGAACGGAAAGGCCCAAGCUUGCUUGGGUACUCGAGUGGCGAACGGGUGAGUAACACGUGGGUGAUCUGCCCUGCACUUCGGGAUAAGCCUGGGAAACUGGGUCUAAUACCGGAUAGGACCACAUUUUGGAUGGUGUGGUGGAAAGUUUUUCGGUGUGGGAUGAGCUCGCGGCCUAUCAGCUUGUUGGUGGGGUAAUGGCCUACCAAGGCGUCGACGGGUAGCCGGCCUGAGAGGGUGUACGGCCGCAUUGGGACUGAGAUACGGCCCAGACUCCUACGGGAGGCAGCGGUGGGGAAUAUUGCACAAUGGGCGCAAGCCUGAUGCAGCGACGCCGCGUGGGGGAUGACGGCCUUCGGGUUGUAAACUCCUUUCGCUAGGGACGAAGCGUUAUGUGACGGUACCUGGAGAAGAAGCACCGGCUAACUACGUG